CCAAGGUCGGGCAGGCCUCAGGCUGACGAUGCGGCAGGCACUGAAUGCAGUGGUAGGCAUUGAAAAUUGGAAGCAAAAAUGUCAUCAGCAGCGAUCUGCUGUAACGACGCAGCAUUGCACCACCACGCUUGUGAUGGAAGUGCACACAGUAGCUCUCCUCAGCAUUUUUUUUUUGUUACCUGUUAAAACCCGAGCCAAAUGUUUAAAAACGUGGAGUAGAGCAGAUGGAAAUGACUCAAAGUCCUUUGUUACUGACAAGACGCCUGCUUUGUGGUGAAUUUCUGUCAGCAGAAGCAUACUUUAUUUGUAACAGUAUUAUAAGGAAUUCUUCCCGUCAGAACUACACCCUUCUCAUACAAUUUGCACACAGUUGGAGCCCAGCAGGUCUUCCUGCCCACCAAACCCCAUCUCCCUGCUGCUGCUCGGCACCCUGUGGAGGAAGUGGGACUGAUGUGCCCCAGGAGCUGCCACAUUUAUGCAGCUGCAGCCAAAACUUGCUCAAAGCAGCCAUGGCCGUGUGCUUGCCCCGGGUACAUCGCAGCCUCACGCCGACCUCAGCCCUCACCCCAACACUCUCCAUCCCCAUGGGACCCAUGUCCCAUGGUCCCUUUUGCCACACCUGGGGACUGAGAGCUGGGCUGGAUUCUUUCCACCUUCACACCAUGGCCUACAACUAAGGACUCACAGAUGAAGUUGUUCCCUGGUUGCUGUACAGACCCCGAUCUGCUCGCUCUCAUUGUUCACUCCAGGGACCAAACAAGCCAGCAGACAUUUGAGACAUCAAAGCAAAAAUUCAGUAGGUCUAAUUCAAAACACAUGCAUGGAAGAGCCUUGCUGGCCGGGACAAUGCCAUGUCACAGAGCCACCUACAGAGAACCACUGUACACCUUGGCACUGCCGCAUUGUUUUCUGAAAGUGCAAAGCAUUACUGAAUGUGUAAGAAAAGAAACAGGCAAACAUUCCUGCAGGGGUUUGAAGGGAGGUAAAUCCACGGCCUGGCAGCCUGAAUGGCACUGUGGUUAAUGCAUCUCAGUGACAGGUGCUACAGGAGCACUUGCAGAACUCGGGCACUGCAGUAGAAGCCGUUGGCAGAAACCUGGGCAAAAAGCUGUAACUUGCUUAAUCACUGGCAGAAAAAAAAAAAAACAAGAUAGCAGUGUUGGCAGUAAUUAAGGUCAGAAACAUCACAAAGAAAAGGCAGAAUAGCAGCAGCAGCAAAGCCUCCCACAAGGGCUGCAGCACCUGAGGGACAACGGGGCCAUGGGCACAGUGGGAAGAAAGCGAGAGCAUCGCUCCCUGCUUGGGGACGGUCCCGGAGCACUGUGGCAUGUGGCCACAUGGUUGUGUCACAGUGUGACGAGCUGCAGGAGCACAACUUGCAGGACCCACAGUUCCAGGCUGCCUACAGCCAUUCAAAGCUGCCUGGUUUUCCUCAAGGGCAGCAUCCAGAGGAUGGCUCUCCGUGCCUUGUUUUUCUGCCACUUUCCCUUCUCUAUUUUCCAUUCUCCUUAAUAGAAAAAGGACUUUUCACACACUUUUAGCUCUUAGGUGAGUUGCCUGCCUCCAUGCCCUCCUGUCCACAAAGAAUAUAUUCUUCUAAUUCAGGUAAGUCCAACCCUUAGCACCCAGGGAUACCCCAUCAGGGGAAACCCAGAGGUCUGUGCUGAGCACAUCCCUCCUGAACAGCCCUCCACUGGCAGUGGGUACCACACAGGCAUGGGACAGCCAUGAGCUUUUCUUAAGGCCACCUGGGCUGAAAGCAGCUCCCUAAACACAGACAAGAGACUGUGUUUAGGAUUCUUUGAGCUCAUGUGUGGCCCCUGUGCCUGCUGCCCAGGGCUGCACAGCACCGUGCCCCUUCAAGCAGCAGCUGCUUGGGGAUGCACAUGGCUCAGGAGAACCCCAAAAUCUUCGGAGGAUUUUCCCCAUGCCAACAUGAGCAGCACAGCAUGAUGGAAACCACAGGCCCUGUGCAGGGGCUGAGGCUUUGCAGGAUGUGUCAUCUCUCAGCUGCAGCGCUGUGGCUUCACCCAGCAGCAUCCCCAGCUCACAGCCUGGCUUUCACCUCCCCCCAAGAUCUGAACCUGGACAGUCCCAAGAACAGGGUCAGGUCCAGAACUGGCUGCCAGUUUUUGAUGGCUCUGUACAACCAGGGUCCCCACGGGCAUGCUCACCGCCAGGAACCCCAGCACUCAGUUCUGCCCUACCUGCACAGAGCUGCCAGAGACUGGGCAGUGUCUGCCAGCACCUGGAGGCUAUGGAGUGUGCAGAGUGAGAGCAGCAGAACAGUCCUGGGCACACAGCAAGGACUGCAGAACAAGGAAACUCAGCUGCAGGGAUCCCUUUGCUGGAGAACGCUGUAGUUUUGUGCCUGUGCAGAAACUAGGUGGCCCAAGAGGUGAAGCAGCUUUGCAGAGAAACCUGUCCUGGCAUUAAAAGAGAGAAACCAUGGAUUAGAAACAGGUUUUGCCUUGCAGCUUUAGAGGCGAUGGGGUUGAAAAGAAUUAUCCAACACCUGCUAAACAGUUCAGCAGCCCAGACUUACACACAGCAUCCUUCAGGAGCUCUGCUCUCCAGGUCCUGGAUUUCAGAGCUGCCACAUCCCUGGGGUGACCACGGCUGCUCCAGGAGCCGGCCUGCAGACACAGAACCCCAGGAAUUGAGGGAAGUCUCCCUCUAUUUGGAGGGGAGGCAAAGGGAAGUGGCCUGCAAAGAGGCACAGGAAGAAGGGUGAGAAGCCAGCAGCGACCUCAGCAUGGCAAGGAUCAGACAGCUCCAUAGAGCAGGACAGGCUGUGCCACCACCCCUGCAGCCCUUUCUCCCAUGCAAGACAGCAGCCCUGCAGCAAGGAGAGGGGCUCAUCCCUGCUGACCCCAGCUGCAGGUUAAGAUCACUCUGGUGUCCCACUGUUAGUGAGAGGCCAGCGUUUGCCCUUUGAUUUAGUUAUGCACCGACAAAGAUUCAGAAGUGUUGGAAGUGCAAUUUUUUGCCACCGACUAAAAAUAGCCGAGCGAAAUUCCAGAGCUGCCUUUCAGCGCCGCCGGCUGCGCUCAGCUUAACAGGACAAUGGCAGCUGUAGGCUGAUGGUGACAACACGCAGGCCGGGCUCCAGCACCCUGAAUAACGAGUUCUAAAGGGCAAAAUUUGGCUGUAAUUACAGCUAUGCAAAAAGCAGUAUUUAAAAACACUAUUAUCUAAAUACCUGAACAUGCAUUGCCAACUUAACACUGGACAGGGGGAUGCAAUAAGAGUGGGACAGACUUUGCACAAAAUAAAAAUUCACCCAGCAAAUCCAUAGAUCCCUUCCAGGAGGAUGCUCAGUUAGCAGCCCGCAGUACAGCAGCGAUGCUGGGAGCCACGCUGCACGGCUUUUAAGCACAAACCACCCACCCUAUGAGCUGCUGCGGUGGCACGUGGUCACUUCUGAGCUCUGCAGAGUGAUGUCCUGUGCACACGCCAGGCAGAAUAGGUGCCUGUCACCAACCUGAGCCCGUGGCACUAUUCAGGGUGAAAAAAAAAGGACUAAGUCAGUGCUUUCAAAUGAGACAGUCCUAGUGCUAACGCUGACCCUUGCAACUCAAACAGAAGCGAGCCUGCAACAAAAGCACUUUCCGAAGGGCUAAAGGGAUAGGUACCCUUAUGUCAGCAGUUACAGGCAAUAGCUUCAUCACUUUUCUCCUCAGUGGCCUCAUCCUUCUGCUGACAUGUCCCUGGGUGACGUUAGGGACCCGAGUGCAAAAGUGCCAGACACACACAGUAAGGGGACCCAGCCCCGCUCAUGUGGCCGCUCUGCAAAGCAGACCCAGUUGUGUUUUCUCACUGAAACGUGAAAGAGAAGAG
ensembl:lncRNA